UUUAUGAAAUUGCAGUUCUUUCACAUACUCCUUUGUUCCUGAGCAGCCAGGAGUUUUCAGUUUGUUUCUAAGGUGCUAAAAGAGGAUCGGAGUGGCCUGAGCUCAGGGGUGCCUCACUCAAAGCUCUAACAGGAUGUGUCUUUUAAUAGAAUGAAGGUGUGAUGGUUCUCAGUGCACUGUAGAGCUUGUUCUUCAGGAAGACAAAGGAAGCACAGUGCAGAACUGUUGCUUCUGGGGUUUCUCCCACAUCCAGGGAGACACUGUCAUGGACAUGGAAGCUGAAGCUCUGGACAUGCUGAUGAAGCCAUGAAAGCAGAACCAGCUCUGCUUCAGAGGUUCUUGCUAUGAUGCUCAAAUAUGCAACACUUGUUUUUCAGCACUGAUUAGUUUGACCCUCUGCUCUACAAAUCCUAAUCUACAUCUGUGUCUUAUUCUGGAACAGAGCCCAAAGUCCUGGAGCUGUUGAUCUCAGCACACAAUUGCAAAAGGAGGAAUGUGAUGUGCUUCUAGACAUGCAGCAGAAGAGAGGAAGCUGCAGUCCCCAAGGUUCCCUGCUCACUUAAAGACCAUGUUCACCAGGAUACACCUGCUGAGUUUCCUGCUGUGAACAUCUGACAGGCAGCUGAUACCAAAGGGCAGAACCAAGAGAGCCAAAGAAUGAAAGGGUGCAAAAGAGAGGAGAUGCUGGACAGAGAAUGCUACACCUUGUCAGCAAACUAAUGGAAAUGCCCCACUUGCCCUUCUGACUCAGCUCCUUCCAUGGACAACAGACCUUUAUUUACUGUGGAUGAGGUCCUGGAAGUAUUCUGAAAAGUUUUUAAAGCAUCUGUGGAUGCACACAGAUGCAUCAACAUCACCUUGCUCAUUCAUGUAAUUUGACUUUGUUUUUACUUACUGAAGGCAUUA